GAGUUUGAUCCUGGCUCAGAUUGAACGCUGGCGGCAUGCCUUACACAUACAAGUCGAACGGCAGCACGGGAGCUUGCUCCUGGUGGCGAGUGGCGAGCGGGUGAGUAAUGCAUCGGAACGUAUCCUGGAGUGGGGGAUAACGUAGCGAAAGUUACGCUAAUACCGCAUAUUCUGUGAGCAGGAAAGCGGGGGACCUUCGGGCCUCGCGCUCUUGGAGCGGCCGAUGUCGGAUUAGCUAGUUGGUGAGGUAAAGGCUCACCAAGGCGACGAUCCGUAGCAGGUCUGAGAGGAUGAUCUGCCACACUGGAACUGAGACACGGUCCAGACUCCUACGGGAGGCAGCGAGUGGGGAAUUUUGGACAAUGGGGGCAACCCUGAUCCAGCCAUGCCGCGUGAGUGAAGAAGGCCUCGG
rnacentral:rRNA from 1 species